UUGCUGGACAGGACCAGCUAUAUCACAACAACAUAAAAAGCAUGGUGACAUUAGUGACAUCCUGCCCAAAAGAAGCCCGAGUAUGGGGUUUUCCAUCAGCUCAGGUUGUAAACAGACCACCAAACAUGGUCAGCUUAUACACAUCUGCUCCAUGUGUUUCAUGUGUUCCAGGUUUUCCAUCAGCGAGGAUGCUUAGCUCUGAACAUAUAAAAAUACAAACUAGGACUACACAGGGCAAGUCCUGGUUUUAUAAACUGCGGAAUGAGAAGAUUUGUCUUAUUUCAACAGUUCCAGCAAAACAUAAACAUCAGCAAGAUGAAAUGAAGUGCAUGGUAGCAAUGACUCCAUCAUGUCCACAUUUGACUCAACUUCCUGGUUUCCCCAGCAUUUUGCAAUUGAAUCCAACUGAGAAAGACAAAUUGGCUACUCCAGUUCUGCCUUCUGCUGAAAAGCAUACAACACAGGAAUUACCUCAUGAACAGUCAACUCAGUCAUAUCUCAACGACACAAGAAUUCCUGGUUUUCCCUCUACAUCUGUCAGCAGCUCCAGUACAGAACUUGUGCAUGUGGAGAAAUUCAAAGACGAUGCAAAGCAAAAUGUAGACCUUUCUGUAGAUGAUGGCAAAUCACAAAUAGAGAGAAUAGCAGCAGAGGAGACCCAAACAGCGAAGAAACC